CAUUGUCUUGUGAGUAUCCUUAAACCCUGUUGCUGUUGCUUCCUCUCCCUAUGAGAAAGGUGAGAGCAAAAUGUCCAUUUCUCGUCUUUUUUUCAUCCAUAUUCCGAUCGCUGAUCAACACUGUAGAAUGUAAAAGAUGGUGUUCUUCAGUGAAUGAUAAGGGUGAAAUUUCACAGCUGUUGAAGAAAUCUGAGGCGGUGGAGCACCAGAAAGCCAUGGCUGUGGAGAUAUAUGAAAAGAAUUUGUUUGUCAAUCAUAUUGUGGACAAAGUUGUUGCCAUGUGACCAGGAGGACGGGUUCAAGCCUUGAAACAGCCUCUGGCAGAAAUGCAAGGUAAGUAAAACUCCCGAUAUCGAACCUGGCAUGAAUGGAUUAGUUUGGAAUGUCAAGGUUCAAAGGUGUGUUGCAAAAUAGAGACUUUUGGAGAGAAUUCCGAGUUUCUAUCCCAUGCAACCCGCUAUAGCGGGUGUCAUGUCGCUAAAGCCAGGAAAAUUAAUUCCCUCUAUAGCGGGGUAAGUUAGGUGUUAGUGCAGUAAAGUCCCUAAAUCAGUCAAUUUUUGGCUAUCUCAUUUUGGGGAUCUACAAGGGCGAAAACCACCAGUUUUCCAUCGUGUUCAUCAAUAAAGGUAAAUUAAUUACUCCCCUAACUUGUAAAUUGAUUCUUAAGCCUUAGAAUCCAUGAGGGUAACCUUACGAAGGGUUUUUAACUUGAUAGCCCUAGUUUGGGUGGGAUGAUCAUUAAAUUGGCCCAGGGGUAGGAUUUGAGUAUAAUCUGGGUAUUUUUAGGCCAUUAUUCAUUGAUUGUUGUAUUUUGUUAUUGUUUUAGACCAAGAACAAGUCAAGGCAUUACAAAAGGGGAAAUCUCAUGCAAUGAACCUGUUUACUCUACUUGUGGUUUCAAGUGUUGCUCGGAUAUCACGUCUGGUACAGAUAUCUAUAUGAUUGGCUGGGAUACCACGCUAGUACAAUGUACUAACGAUGGUUGGCUCGGGUACCACGCUGGUACACUAACAGUUUGUGUGUGAGUUCCAUGAGAGAAUCGGAAUGUAGAAGAUGGUGUUCUUCAGUGAAUGAUAAGGGUGAGGAGCGGCAGAAAACCAUGGUUGUGAAGAUAUCUGAAAAGAAGAACUCGUAUUUGAUAGAUUGGGAGCGCAAAGGCUCUGACAAAGGGGGAGACUGUUUUGUGAUUUGCGGUGCUUCAAAUUGAGGUUUUGAUUUAUGUGAUAGUGGAGUUUGCAAAGAAGUUUGAGUCAAUGGUUGUUCAUCUAGAGAUUUUGGGGUGUGUUGCUUGGUUGAUCCACAACAUCAAAAUUUCCUUAUUGUAAUUUAUUUCCUAUCUGUUUGUUCUAGACAGUUGUAUUAGCUUAUUUCAAAAUUGUAUAUUCUUUUUUUAUAACCUUUUCCAAACUUGUGUACUCUAAAUUUAGAGGCUUUUGUACCAACAACUUUGGAUUUUAGGGGUAUAGUUCCUCUAUUCUGCAUUUUU